UCUCUCACUAAACUCACUUUGCUCACCGUCAUUCACAACCCGUGCUUUUUUUCACAAACCUCUCUCUCUCUCUCUCUCUCUUUCUCUGAGAUAUUAGGGUUUUUCUCUCUCUAAAACCGUCACGAAAAUUCCAUUCCCUCGAGCUAGGGUCUCGAAGAUUCUUCGCAUCGCAAUCUCUGAAGUUCCGGAUCCAAGGGAGAGCUUCGUCUUCGACCGAACUCUGUGAGAGCUUUACUCAAAAUUUUUUUUUUUUCCUGAGCUCAGCGUUUGCAGCUGAGAAUUUGCGGUGAGAACGGAUUAAGAGUUUUCAUCUGGUUUGGGUGAAGAAGAGUGAUGAUAGAGAAAUGGCGUUAAAGGUUCCAGCUCCUGAAGCUGCUGAGAUUGCAAUUGGGUCCAUUGGGCGUGGGUACGAUAUAUCAGUAGAUCUAAGGCUUAAGUACUGCAAAGGGGAUUCAAAGGAGUCCCGGUUGAUUGAGAUUGAUGAAGAUGAGGGUCGCGAGAUUGUUUUGCCUGGUGGGAUUUUUAUCCCAAAAGUCUCCAAAUCAAUCAAAUGCGAUAAAGGGGAACGCACGCGGUUCAAGUCAGAUGCUCUAUCUUUCCAACAGAUGUCAGAGCAGUUCAACCAGGAAAUGAAUUUGACUGGCAAAAUUCCUUCGGGCCUCUUCAAUACCAUGUUCGAAUUCUCAGGUAGUUGGCAGAAAGAUGCAGCCAACACUAAGACCCUUGCUUUUGAUGGGGUGUUCAUCACGCUAUAUACAGUUGCAUUGGAGAAAUCUCAGAUGGUACUCUGUGAUCAUGUUAAGAAAGCAGUCCCUUCAUCAUGGGAACCUGCUGCACUGGCAAGAUUUAUUGAGACAUUUGGUACCCAUAUUAUUGUUGGAGUGAAGAUGGGAGGGAAGGAUGUAAUAUAUAUGAAGCAGCAGCAUUCAUCAACUCUUCAACCUGCUGAUGUGCAAAAAAGAUUGAAAGAGAUGGCAGAUAAAAGGUUUUUAGAUUCAAAUGGGCAAAAUGGCAUGGCUGUGGAACAAGUUUACCAGAAUGAGAAGUUUGAAAUCAGGGAGCAGCGGCUGAGGUUUGUAGGCAUCAGUCCAUCAAGUUCUUAUUCACACAAGGAGGAUAUUGUAAGCAUAUGCAAGAGGAGAGGUGGAGGUGAUAAUAGACACCUACCUCAUAAUGAUUGGUUGCAAACUGUCCAGUCUGAGCCUGAAGUGAUCUCAAUGUCCUUCAUCCCAAUUACGUCUCUAUUGAAUGGAAUACCGGGGAGUGGAUUCUUGAGCCAUGCCAUAAAUCUUUAUUUACGAUAUAAACCUCCAAUUGAGGAGCUCCACCAAUUUUUGGAAUUUCAGCUGCCCAGGCAGUGGGCACCUGUGUUCAGUGAUCUUCCACUUGGUCCACAACGGAAACAACAGAGCAAUGCAUCUUUGCAGUUUAGCUUUUUGGGCCCCAAGCUUUAUGUGAACACCUUACCGGUUGAUGUAGGUAAGAGACCAGUGACUGGUCUCCGCCUUUAUCUAGAAGGUAAAAGGAGUAACCGUGUGGCUAUCCACUUGCAACACCUCUCAUCUCUUCCCAAAAUCUUCCAACUUGAAGAUGAUCCCAGUGGAAACUUCCGCCAAGAGUCCAAUGAUCGUAAAUACUAUGAGAAAGUUCAAUGGAAGAACUUCUCUCAUAUCUGCACUGCUCCUGUGGAGUCCGAUGAGGAUCUUUCAAUAGUGACUGGAGCCCAAUUACAGGUUGAAAACUAUGGGUUUAAAAAAAUUCUCUUCCUGAGACUCCGUUUCUCGAAUGUUUUGGGAGCUACAGUUGUGAAACAUCCUGAGUGGGAUGGAUCUCCAGGGUUGGCUCCUAAAUCUGGACUUAUUUCAACACUAAUCAGCCAUCAUUUCACAACAGUUCAGAAGCCACCUCCGCGGCCAGCUGAUGUGAAUAUAAACUCUGCCAUUUACCCAGGAGGCCCUCCAGUACCCGUCCAAGCUCCCAAGCUUCUGAAAUUUGUUGAUACGACAGAAAUGACAAGGGGGCCACAAGAAACUCCCGGCUAUUGGGUUGUCUCUGGGGCUAGACUUGUUGUGGAGAAGGGCAGGAUUUCGCUCAGGGUUAAGUAUUCUUUAUUAACUGUUAUAUUACCGGAUGAUGAUGAUGAUGUGGAGGAGCUAUAGCUGAUUCUUUUGUUCUUUUCGGUUUUUUGCCUUUUUGGGCUUCCCUUGAAAAGCUGAAAAAGGGAAUGGGAUUCAAAGGUGGAUAAAAUGAAAAGAUUGAGAUUUAGAGAUGGAGUUACAGUGAAACAUAGGUAGUAUCAAGUAUGUAUUGAAACCAGAAUCAUUUAUUGUGAGAAUAGAUGGAGUUCAAGAGAAGUGAGGCGGAGGGGUUAAAGAAUGAAAGUUGAAAGUCGACAGAAGUUGCUGCCAUUGGUGUUCAUUGAGUCUGUUAAAGCCCAGGUUCAUGCGGGUAGGUUUGUUAAAAUGAAAGGAAAACGAAAAAAAAAAAAAAAAGUAAAAA